rnacentral:rRNA from 1 species
AGGACGAACGCUGGCGGCGUGCCUAACACAUGCAAGUCGAACGGGGUGAUUUCCUUCGGGAGAUCACUUAGUGGCGAACGGGUGAGUAACGCGUGAGGAACCUGCCUUUCAGGUGGGGGACAACAGGUUGGAAACGACUGCUAAUACCGCAUGACACAUACGGAAAGGGCAUUCCUUUUGAUGUACAAAGUAUUUAUCGCUAGAAAGAUGGGCUCGCGUCCGAUUAGGUAGUUGGUGGGGUAAUGGCCUACCAAGCCGACGAUCGGUAGCCGGACUGAGAGGUUGAACGGCCACAUUGGGACUGAGACACGGCCCAGACUCCUACGGGAGGCAGCAGGUGGGGGAUAUUGCACAAUGGGGGAAACCCUGAUGCAGCAACGCCGCGUGAGGGAAGAAGGUUUUCGGAUUGUAAACCUCUGUUUUAGUGAAGAAACAAAUGACGGUAGCUAAAGAGGAAGCCACGGCUAACUACGUG